rnacentral:rRNA from 1 species
GACGAACGCUGGCGGCGUGCCUAAUACAUGCAAGUAGAACGCUGAAGGAGGAGCUUGCUUCUCUGGAUGAGUUGCGAACGGGUGAGUAACGCGUAGGUAACCUGCCUGGUAGCGGGGGAUAACUAUUGGAAACGAUAGCUAAUACCGCAUAAGAGUAGAUGUUGCAUGACAUUUGCUUAAAAGGUGCAAUUGCAUCACUACCAGAUGGACCUGCGUUGUAUUAGCUAGUUGGUGGGGUAACGGCUCACCAAGGCGACGAUACAUAGCCGACCUGAGAGGGUGAGCGGCCACACUGGGACUGAGACACGGCCCAGACUCCUACGGGAGGCAGCAGUAGGGAAUCUUCGGCAAUGGACGGAAGUCUGACCGAGCAACGCCGCGUGAGUGAAGAAUGGUGUCGGAUCGUAAAGCUCUGUUGUAAGAGAAGAACGAGUGUGAGAGUGGAAAGUUCACACUGUGACGGUAUCUUACCAGAAAGGGACGGCUAACUACGUG